ACAGAGGGAGAGAGGAGAAGCCCCUGAUACAUGUUCUCUAGGCCUUUUAGAAAACAUGCAGUUGUUCCUUUGGCCACAUAUAUGCUAAUAUACAAGAAAGGUGAUAUUGUAGACAUCAAGGGAAUGGGUACUGUUCUAAAAGGCAUGCCCCACGGAUGUCACCAUGGCAAAACUGGAGGAGUCUACAAUGUUCCCUAGCAUGCUAUUGGCAUCAUUAUAAACAAACAAGUUAAGGACAAGAUUCUUGCCAACAGGAUUAAGGUUCGUACUGAGCAUGUUAAGCUCUCUAAGAGCUGAGCUAGCUUUCUGAAACAGGUGAAAGAAAAUGAUCAGAAAAAGAAGGAAGCCAAAGAGAAAGAUACCUGGGUUCUACUGAAGUGCCAGCCUGUUCCACCCAGAGAAACACACUUUGUGAGAACCAGUGGAAAGGAGCCUGAGCUCCUGGAACCCAUUCCCUAUGAAUUCACGGCAUAA